GCAUCGAUGAAGAACGCAGCGAAAUGCGAUACGUAAUGUGAAUUGCAGAAUUCAGUGAAUCAUCGAAUCUUUGAACGCAUAUUGCGCUCUCUGGUAUUCCGGAGAGCAUGCUUGUUUGAGUAUCAGUAAACACCUCAACUUCCAUAUCUUUUUUGAAAUGGGAGUUGGACUUGAGUGAUCCCAACGCUUUUCCUCACCGAAAAGUGGCGGGUUACUUGAAAUGCAGGUGCAGCUGGACUUUUCUCUGAGCUAUAAGCAUAUCUAUUUAGUCUGCCUAAAAAACAGAUUAUUACCUUUGCUGCAGCUAACAUAAAGGAGAUUAGUUCUUGUGCUGACUGAUGCAGGAUUCACAAAGACAGGCUUCGGCCGACUUUGUAAACUCGAUCUCAAAUCAAGUAAG
rnacentral:misc_RNA from 1 species